UUCCGCUCUCCAGCUCCGUGCGAGAUGUUCGUGCUCGAUGCGGCGUUUCAAUGAGCGAAAACUAGUGAAGAUCGACGAUUAUUGAUAUUUCUUCGUGGAAUAUCGAUCACUAAAGGCUUCGCACAACG
rnacentral:snoRNA from 1 species